UGGGGAAUAUUGCACAAUGGAGGGAACUCUGAUGCAGCGACGCCGCGUGAACGAAGAAGGCUUUCGAGUCGUAAAGUUCUUUUAUAUGGGAAGAUAAUGACGGUACCAUAAGAAGAAGCCCCGGCUAACUACGUGCCAGCAGCCGCGGUAAUACGUAGGGGGCUAGCGUUGUCCGGAAUCACUGGGCGUAAAGGGUUCGCAGGCGGAAAUGCAAGUAAGGUGUAAAAGGCAGUAGCUUAACUACUGUAAGCAUUUGAAACUGCAUAUCUUGAGAAGAGUAGAGGUAAGUGGAAUUUUUAGUGUAGCGGUGAAAUGCGUAGAUAUUAAAAAGAAUACCGGUGGCGAAGGCGACUUACUGGGCUCAUUCUGACGCUGAGGAACGAAAGCGUGGGUAGCAAACAGG
rnacentral:rRNA from 1 species